rnacentral:rRNA from 1 species
CCUACGGGAGGCAGCAGUGGGGAAUGUUGGACAAUGGGGGCAACCCUGAUCCAGCCAUGCCGCGUGUGUGAAGAAGGCCCUCGGGUUGUAAAGCACUUUCAGUGAGGAAGAACGCCUGGUGGUUAAUACCCAUCAGGAAAGACAUCACUCACAGAAGAAGCACCGGCUAACUCCGUGCCAGCAGCCGCGGUAAUACGGAGGGUGCGAGCGUUAAUCGGAAUUACUGGGCGUAAAGCGCGCGUAGGUGGCUUGAUAAGCCGGUUGUGAAAGCCCCGGGCUCAACCUGGGAACGGCAUCCGGAACUGUCAAGCUAGAGUGCAGGAGAGGAAGGUAGAAUUCCCGGUGUAGCGGUGAAAUGCGUAGAGAUCGGGAGGAAUACCAGUGGCGAAGGCGGCCUUCUGGACUGACACUGACACUGAGGUGCGAAAGCGUGGGUAGCAAACAGGAUUAGAUACCCUGGUAGUC